GCCAAGCCUAGCUCAGGCUAUAAAAGGACUUACAGACACUGUAGUUACUUUUUUAGUGUAAGUUAGUAUUUUUCGCACUAUAAAGCGCACUUAAAAUAUUUUAAUUUUCCCAAAAAUUGACAGUGCACUUUAUAAUGUGGUGCCACUCACUGAAGUACAGCGUUACAUAGAAGUUUCAGUGAAGUUUCUCCAGCACAGAGGCUGGAGCAGUGUUAGCAUUAGCAGCUAACCGCAAUGCUAGCUCUUUUGUCGUUCAGAGAUGAUUGAAUUGGUCAGUUACAAGCCAAAUAAAGGUUCUCUGGACAGAGAAAGGAGUCACACAUGGGUGAACCUCAGGAAAGCCUUCUCUAUAUAGCGAGCUAAAAGGAUGACUGGUUUUUGUCAAAACACUGUGGAAAGGGCCUGAAAAGGAAAGGCAGGCACCGUCACCCAACCACGAACGAACUUCCAUCGAGCUUAUAGCAGCGGGACAUGAGGAAGAGAAAAGAAAUUGAAUAAGAUGAAUAAGUUUGCUGGAGGGGCACCUGAGGACAGACGCUGUGGAUCUCCACAUCUUUACCUCAAGCACUCUGACUGUCCCACAAUGGUAUCCAGGUAUCCCAUGUCAGGU
rnacentral:lncRNA from 1 species